GGUUAAGCGACUAAGCGUACACGGUGGAUGCCCUGGCAGUCAGAGGCGAUGAAGGACGUGCUAAUCUGCGAUAAGCGUCGGUAAGGUGAUAUGAACCGUUAUAACCGGCGAUUUCCGAAUGGGGAAACCCAGUGUGUUUCGACACACUAUCAUUAACUGAAUCCAUAGGUUAAUGAGGCGAACCGGGGGAACUGAAACAUCUAAGUACCCCGAGGAAAAGAAAUCAACCGAGAUUCCCCCAGUAGCGGCGAGCGAACGGGGAGCAGCCCAGAGCCUGAAUCAGUGUGUGUGUUAGUGGAAGCGUCUGGAAAGGCGCGCGAUACAGGGUGACAGCCCCGUACACAAAAAUGCACAUGCUGUGAGCUCGAUGAGUAGGGCGGGACACGUGGUAUCCUGUCUGAAUAUGGGGGGACCAUCCUCCAAGGCUAAAUACUCCUGACUGACCGAUAGUGAACCAGUACCGUGAGGGAAAGGCGAAAAGAACCCCGGCGAGGGGAGUGAAAAAGAACCUGAAACCGUGUACGUACAAGCAGUGGGAGCACGCUUAGGCGUGUGACUGCGUACCUUUUGUAUAAUGGGUCAGCGACUUAUAUUCUGUAGCAAGGUUAACCGAAUAGGGGAGCCGAAGGGAAACCGAGUCUUAACUGGGCGUUAAGUUGCAGGGUAUAGACCCGAAACCCGGUGAUCUAGCCAUGGGCAGGUUGAAGGUUGGGUAACACUAACUGGAGGACCGAACCGACUAAUGUUGAAAAAUUAGCGGAUGACUUGUGGCUGGGGGUGAAAGGCCAAUCAAACCGGGAGAUAGCUGGUUCUCCCCGAAAGCUAUUUAGGUAGCGCCUCGUGAAUUCAUCUCCGGGGGUAGAGCACUGUUUCGGCAAGGGGGUCAUCCCGACUUACCAACCCGAUGCAAACUGCGAAUACCGGAGAAUGUUAUCACGGGAGACACACGGCGGGUGCUAACGUCCGUCGUGAAGAGGGAAACAACCCAGACCGCCAGCUAAGGUCCCAAAGUCAUGGUUAAGUGGGAAACGAUGUGGGAAGGCCCAGACAGCCAGGAUGUUGGCUUAGAAGCAGCCAUCAUUUAAAGAAAGCGUAAUAGCUCACUGGUCGAGUCGGCCUGCGCGGAAGAUGUAACGGGGCUAAACCAUGCACCGAAGCUGCGGCAGCGACACUAUGCGUUGUUGGGUAGGGGAGCGUUCUGUAAGCCUGUGAAGGUGUGCUGUGAGGCAUGCUGGAGGUAUCAGAAGUGCGAAU
rnacentral:rRNA from 1 species